rnacentral:rRNA from 1 species
UACGUAGGGGACUAGCGUUGUUCGGAUUUACUGGGCGUAAAGCGCGCGUAGGCGGAUAUUUAAGUCAGGGGUGAAAUCCCAGGGCUCAACCCUGGAACUGCCUUUGAUACUGGAUGUCUGGAGUUCGGGAGAGGUUGGUGGAAUUCCGAGUGUAGAGGUGAAAUUCGUAGAUAUUCGGAGGAACACCAGAAGCGAAGGCGGGUCUCUGGACAGUUCCUGACACUGAGGCACGAAGGUCAGGGGAGCAAACGGG